GCAGACCCUCCCUCAGUCAGCCAUGUGAACAGAAGCGAUGAGAGAGAUCUCAGCCUUUCAUUCCAAGUCUCACAGUUUCACAGGCAACACGUCCGAGGAAAAACACUUGUCUUCCACCGCCACAAUCAACGUUAAUUGUUAUAUUAUCCAGAGACAAUAUAAAUCACAACUAGCUCGAUGGCUACUGUAACUUUUAGGGAUGGCGCUUCCGAUAGUAUCGCGAGUUUAUCUCGUUGGCGAGAAUCAGGCUGCCACUUCCCGGGAACAGAAACGGUUCAAUUGAACCAACUGUCGAGCCUGCGCAAAUAAAGUUAAGUUAAAUAUGUACUUGGUGUCAUAUUAACUAUACUUCAGCUCUUGCUUAACAUCGGUUAUCAGGUUAACUUAGUUUACGGUUCUAUUUAAAUGUAAUGUGUGGACGCUAACGUUUGCUAGCCCGCUAGUUAGUCGACAUUAGCAGAACUCUCGGUAUUUAUCCAGAAAGAAAAAAUGGCUGCGGAGGAGAGGACAAGCUGGAUACUGACAUGUGCUACGGUCGCUUUUGUCGCCGCUCUGUAUGUGCCCUGUGUGCAGAGGACUGUCCCCGGUGGAGACUCAGGAGAGCUGAUCACCACUGCUUGUGAGCUGGGGGUGGCCCAUCCUCCAGGA